rnacentral:rRNA from 1 species
AUUGAACGCUGGCGGCAUGCUUUACACAUGCAAGUCGAACGGCAGCGCGGGCUUCGGCCUGGCGGCGAGUGGCGAACGGGUGAGUAAUGCAUCGGAACGUGCCCAGUAGUGGGGGAUAGCCCGGCGAAAGCCGGAUUAAUACCGCAUACGACCUGAGGGUGAAAGCGGGGGACCGAAAGGCCUCGCGCUAUUGGAGCGGCCGAUGUCGGAUUAGCUAGUUGGUGGGGUAAAGGCUUACCAAGGCGACGAUCCGUAGCUGGUCUGAGAGGACGACCAGCCACACUGGGACUGAGACACGGCCCAGACUCCUACGGGAGGCAGCAGUGGGGAAUUUUGGACAAUGGGGGCAACCCUGAUCCAGCCAUGCCGCGUGCGGGAAGAAGGCCUUCGGGUUGUAAACCGCUUUUGUUCGGGAAGAAAUCAUCUGGGCUAAUACCCCGGGGGGAUGACGGUACCGGAAGAAUAAGCACCGGCUAACUACGUG